GAUGAACGCUGGCGGCGUGCCUAAUACAUGCAAGUCGAGCGAACAGACGAGGAGCUUGCUCCUCUGACGUUAGCGGCGGACGGGGGAGUAACACGUGGAUAACCUCCUUAUAAGACUGGGAUAACUUCGGGAAACCGGAGCUACUACCGGAUAAUAUAUUGAACCGCAUGGUUCAAUAGUGAAAGACGGUUUUGCUGUCACUUAUAGAUGGAUCCGCGCCGCAUUAGCUAGUUGGUAAGGUAACGGCUUACCAAGGCAACGAUGCGUAGCCGACCUGAGAGGGUGAUCGGCCGCACUGGAGCGGAGACGCGGUCCAGACUCCUACGGGAGGCGGCAGUAGGGAAUCAUCCGGAAUGGGCGAAAGCCUGACGGAGCAGCGCCGCGUGAGUGAUGAAGGUCUUCGGAUCGUAAAACUCUGUUAUUAGGGAAGAACAAAUGUGUAAGCAACUGUGCACGUCUUGACGGUACCUAAUCAGAAAGCCACGGCUAACUACGUG
rnacentral:rRNA from 1 species